rnacentral:rRNA from 1 species
GACGAACGCUGGCGGCGUGCUUAACACAUGCAAGUCGAACGGAAAGGCCCUGCUUUUGUGGGGUGCUCGAGUGGCGAACGGGUGAGUAACACGUGAGUAACCUGCCCUUGACUUUGGGAUAACUUCAGGAAACUGGGGCUAAUACCGGAUAGGAGCUCCUGCUGCAUGGUGGGGGUUGGAAAGUUUCGGCGGUUGGGGAUGGACUCGCGGCUUAUCAGCUUGUUGGUGGGGUAGUGGCUUACCAAGGCUUUGACGGGUAGCCGGCCUGAGAGGGUGACCGGCCAACUUGGGACUGAGAUACGGCCCAGACUCCUACGGGAAGCAGCAGUGGGGAAAAAUGCACCAUGGGCGGGAGCCUGAUGCAGCAACGCCGCGUGCGGGAUGACGGCCUUCGGGUUGUAAACCGCUUUCGCCUGUGACGAAGCGUGAGUGACGGUAAUGGGUAAAGAAGCACCGGCUAACUACGUG